rnacentral:rRNA from 1 species
GCACAACGCGAAGAACCUUACCAGGCCUUGACAUGCAGAGAACUUUCCAGAGAUGGAUUGGUGCCUUCGGGAACUCUGACACAGGUGCUGCAUGGCUGUCGUCAGCUCGUGUCGUGAGAUGUUGGGUUAAGUCCCGUAACGAGCGCAACCCUGUCCUUAGUUACCAGCACGUUAUGGUGGACACUCUAAGGAGACUGCCGGUGACAAACCGGAGGAAGGUGGGAUGGACGUCGAAGUCAUCAUGGCCUUACGGCCUGGGCUACACACGUGCUACAAUGGUCGGUACAGAGGUUGCCAAGCCGCGAGGUGGAGCUAAUCUCACAAAACCGAUCGUAGUCCGGAUCGCAGUCUGCAACUCGACUGCGUGAAGUCGGAAUCGCUAGUAAUCGCGAAUCA